rnacentral:rRNA from 1 species
CCUACGGGGGGCUGCAGUGAGGAAUCUUGCGCAAUGGGGGCAACCCUGACGCAGCGACACAGCGUGGAGGAUGAAGGUCUUCGGAUUGUAAACUCCUUUUAUAUGGGAAGAAUAAAUGACUGUACCAUAUGAAUAAGUACCUGCUAACUACGUGCCAGAAGCAUCGGUGAUGCGUAGGGUACGAACGUUAUCCGGAUUUACUGGGCGUAUAGAGAUGCGUAGGCGGUUUGAUAAGUCUUGAGUUAAAGACCUCGGCUCAACCGAGGGAGAGCUUUCGAAACUAUCAGACUUGAGACAUGGAGGGGUGAACGGAAUUCCGAGUGGAGUGGUGAAAUACGUUGAUAUUCGGAGGAACAUCAGUGGCGAAGGCGGUUCACUGGCCAUUGUCUGACGCUAAGGCUCGAAAGCGUGGGUAGCAAACCGGCUUAGAUACCCUGGUAGUC